CGCAAUGCGCAAUUACUAUCUGCUGUAUGGUGGAAAACAUAAUAUUUGAAUUGUGGUUGCUCAUAUCUAUUUGAAGGAUGCCAAAAGCAUUAUGAUUAUAUCAGCAGUUAUUUAAAAUUAUAUUCACAGUUGUCAAAAAAUACUACUGUGAUUGAGUGGAGUCACAUAGCUAAUAGAGUUGACUGAUUGCACUUUUUCAUGUAUUAGUGUUGUAUGGAAGCUGCGUGGUCCAACUACCAAAAAUGCUUCAAAUCUGUUGUGCUUACUUAUGGUAAAAAUUUGUAUUGCAUGAUUCCAUUUCCAAAUUCCAACUGAAGAGGGGGUGGGUGGAAAUAGAAGACCACCUAUAGAGGCAUGUAUGCCUAACAUUGUUUAGUC
rnacentral:misc_RNA from 1 species